CUCCAGACUCCUACGGGAGGCAGCAGUGGGGGAUAUUGCACAAUGGGGGGAACCCUGAUGCAGCGACGCCGCGUGGGUGAAGGAGCGUUUCGGCGCGUAAAGCCCUAUCGGCAGGGAAGAAGGAGGACGGUACCUGACUAAGAAGCCCCGGCUAACUCCGUGCCAGCAGCCGCGGUAAUACGGAGGAUGCGAGCGUUAUCCGGAUUUAUUGGGUUUAAAGGGUGCGCAGGCGGCACGGCAAGCCGGCGGUCAAAUCGCGGGGCUCAACCCCGCCCAGCCGUCGGAACUGCCGGGCUAGAGUGGGCGAGAAGUGCGCGGAAUGCGUGGUGUAGCGGUGAAAUGCGUAGAUAUCAGGAGGAACACCGGUGGCGAAGGCGGCCUGCUGGACUGCGACUGACGUUGAGGCCCGAAAGCGUGGGGAGCAAACAGGAUUAGAUACCCGCGUAC
rnacentral:rRNA from 1 species